UAUAGAAAGAGAGCCAUCAGUCAGUAUGAUUGUAGAGCCAGAUGGGUCAGUCAGUAUGAUUGUAUAGACAGAUGGGUCAGUCAGUAUGAUUGUAUAGACAGAUGGGUCAGUCAGUAUGAUUGUAGAGCCAGAUGGGUCAGUCAGUAUGAUUGUAGAGACAGAUGGGUCAGUCAGUAUGAUUGUAGAGCCAGAUGGGUCAGUCAGUAUGAUUGUAUAGACAGAUGGGUCAGUCAGUAUGAUUGUAGAGCCAGAUGGGUCAGUCAGUAUGAUUGUAUAGACAGAUGGGUCAGUCAGUAUGAUUGUAGAGACAGAUGGGUCAGUCAGUAUGAUUGUAUAGACAGAUGGGUCAGUCAGUAUGAUUGUAUAGACAGAUGGGUCAGUCAGUAUGAUUGCAUAUCCAGAUGGGUCAGUCAGUAUGAUUGUAGAGCCAGAUGGGUCAGUCAGUAUGAUUGUAUAGACAGAUGGGUCAGUCAGUAUGAUUGUAGAGACAGAUGGGUCAGUCAGUAUGAUUGUAGAGACAGAUGGGUCAGUCAGUAUGAUUGUAUAGACAGAUGGGUCAGUCAGUAUGAUUGUAGAGACAGAUGGGUCAGUCAGUAUGAUUGCAUAUCCAGAUGGGUCAGUCAGUAUGAUUGUAGAGCCAGAUGGGUCAGUCAGUAUGAUUGUAGAGACAGAUGGGUCAGUCAGUAUGAUUGUAUAGACAGAUGGGUCAGUCAGUAUGAUUGUAGAGCCAGAUGGGUCAGUCAGUAUGAUUGUAUAGACAGAUGGGUCAGUCAGUAUGAUUGUAGAGCCAGAUGGGUCAGUCAGUAUGAUUGUAGAGCCAGAUGGGUCAGUCAGUAUGAUUGUAGAGCCAGAUGGGUCAGUCAGUAUGAUUGUAGAGCCAGAUGGGUCAGUCAGUAUGAUUGUAGAGACAGAUGGGUCAGUCAGUAUGAUUGUAGAGCCAGAUGGGUCAGUCAGUAUGAUUGUAGAGACAGAUGGGUCAGUCAGUAUGAUUGUAGAGACAGAUGGGUCAGUCAGUAUGAUUGUAGAGACAGAUGGGUCAGUCAGUAUGUUUGUAUAGCCAGAUGGGUCAGUCAGUAUGAUUGCAUAUCAGGCCUACAGGAAGUCUUCUGUCAUUUUGAAUACAGAACAUAA
rnacentral:lncRNA from 1 species